rnacentral:misc_RNA from 1 species
AACGAGGCCGACCUGCGGCUGAGUUACCUGCGGAGGGAUCAUUACCGAGUUAUACAACUCAUCAACCCUGUGAACAUACCUAAAACGUUGCCUCGGCGGGAACAGACGGCCCCGUAACACGGGCCGCCCCCGCCAGAGGACCCCCUAACUCUGUUUCUAUAAUGUUUUUUCUGAGUAAACAAGCAAAUAAAUCAAAACUUUCAACAACGGAUCU